rnacentral:rRNA from 1 species
UACGAGGGGGGCAAGCGUUGUUCGGAAUUAUUGGGCGUAAAGGGCGCGUAGGCGGUGCGGUAAGUCUGUUGUGAAAUCUCCGGGCUCAACUCGGAGUCUGCAUCAGAAACUGCCGUGCUUGAGUGUGGGAGAGGUGAGUGGAACUCCGAGUGUAGAGGUGAAAUUCGUAGAUAUUCGGAAGAACACCAGUGGCGAAGGCGGCUCACUGGCCCGGUACUGACGCUGAGGUGCGAAAGCGUGGGGAGCAAACAGG